CAAGUCGAGCGGAGUGAUGGUGCUUGCACUAUCACUUAGCGGCGGACGGGUGAGUAAUGCUUAGGAAUCUGCCUAUUAGUGGGGGACAACAUUUCGAAAGGAAUGCUAAUACCGCAUACGUCCUACGGGAGAAAGCAGGGGAUCUUCGGACCUUGCGCUAAUAGAUGAGCCUAAGUCGGAUUAGCUAGUUGGUGGGGUAAAGGCCUACCAAGGCGACGAUCUGUAGCGGGUCUGAGAGGAUGAUCCGCCACACUGGGACUGAGACACGGCCCAGACUCCUACGGGAGGCAGCAGUGGGGAAUAUUGGACAAUGGGCGCAAGCCUGAUCCAGCCAUGCCGCGUGUGUGAAGAAGGCCUUAUGGUUGUAAAGCACUUUAAGCGAGGAGGAGGCUACUGAAGUUAAUACCUUCAGAUAGUGGACGUUACUCGCAGAAUAAGCACCGGCUAACUCUGUGCCAGCAGCCGCGGUAAUACAGAGGGUGCAAGCGUUAAUCGGAUUUACUGGGCGUAAAGCGCGCGUAGGCGGCUAAUUAAGUCAAAUGUGAAAUCCCCGAGCUUAACUUGGGAAUUGCAUUCGAUACUGGUUAGCUAGAGUGUGGGGAGAGGAUGGUAGAAUUCCAGGU
rnacentral:rRNA from 1 species